GGGGGGGCGCUAUGUGGCGUCACUUCCCCUUCCGUUCUGGAGUGUAGCCCGGGAGAUUCGGGUCUCGGCCGUCCUGGACCGAGAUGGAGUUCUGGGAGCUGAGAGAUGGCUCUGGGGUUAAGAGGGUUGCUCUUGUUGAGGACCCAGGUUUGAUCCCAGCACCCAGGUGGCGGCUCACAGUUUUCCGUAACUUCACCCCGUCUGACUUAAAUCUUAAAUCUCUCUCUAUGUCUCGUUCCUUUUUCUCAAGAGGCAAAGGCAGGCAGAUCUCUGUGAGUUCAGGGCUAGCCUGCAUAGUGAGGCAGAGAGACUGAGAUCAUUCUGGAGCCAAAUAUGAGUGACUGUGGUCCAGGAACACAGAUUUGAAGUUAUCCCCAACUCCACAUGCAAAUGUGGUUACUCUUUCACAAAAUAAUGGUAACAGAACAAAGAAAAUUAUAAAGCAUGUAACAGACCUUAGCACUACCCACGCCAUGAUGAAGUAUCAUCCAGGCUGUAAAACUCAGCAUGUAGACAGCACCACCUGCUAAAACAAAGGCCUAAUCCAUCAAAAUCUAUAGUUAUGAGAAAGUUUCUAAAUGUAAUAACCUUGCUUUUUGGCAUCUGCAGUUCUGCUUCUGGCUAACUGUUCUUGUUAAGUGAAGUAUGUCAACAUGGUGCUUAAAAGCUCACGCUGAGAAAGCCUCGGGGUUAUACUGGGAUCUUGACCACCCAGUGUAGUCACCAACUGGCUAAUAAAGACAUUUAAUUGGCUUAAACUUGUGUCCGAGCAAUCUUCUCUGGUGGAUACCCCGCAACAAGCACAAUCCCAGAUGCAUUGGUGGAAACAUCAGGGACCUGAGUACUGCAAGAUGCUUCCCUCUGGACCCUGGCUUAGGCACAGACCACACCCAAACACCAAUAUCCAAGCACAAACCAAACACAAAGCAAUCAUUUAUUAAGCAAAGCAGAGACGAGGUGGCUGGAUCUGAAUUGGACAGAAACUUUAUUACCUGUCUAUUGGAGAAAGUGGAGUAUUGAAAUCACCUGUUAAUAUUCUGAUCCCACCCCUUGGGGCCACCCUGCAUCCUGAUGUAGAAGCCUCUUCUUAAGGAAAAACUCUGCCCUUUCUCUCUCCUUCUAAUUUUCCUCCCAUGAAGUACACACCUCCUCCCUCCCCCCCCCUCUGGCUCCCUCUUUCUGUCUCUCUGCCUCUUUCUCUCUAUUAUAAUAAACUCUCUGCAUGGAUACAGCAUCUGGGUGUGUAUUACUGGUCACUGCCACUGCUGCCAUGCCCGCAUGGCGUGCAUCUGCCCAACAUGUUUUCCUGCACAUGUGGGAUACCCUCGGGGGCCCCCUCAUAAUAAAUCAUAACACCUACUAUCAAUGGAUUGAUGUUAAUCUGUGUCUUAAAUCCAGUAGUACAAUUUUUAUGAAAUUGGGUACACCAGAGUUUGAUACAUGUAUUUAGGAGAGUAGUUCUUCUUGUGUAGAGAACCUCAUGCUCACAGAUAAGCACUAGAGAAACCAGGAGCAUUAUACAUGCAGGCUUUUCUCUUUAACAAAAGGGAUGUGUAUCUGUUUUCUACCCAGAAGCCUGGGAGUGGAUGUAGCCUGGUAAUCUGUGCUACUUGUAGGGCAGGACACACCCAAAUCCCCCAGACUAUUAUGUUAUUCUAGACUCUUCCUUCCUGGACCUUUAUCUUUAGCUUUGUUUCUCAGUCCCCAUACUUAGGGGAGAUAGUACAUGUAUUUUAUAGCCUGCCGAUGAUUAUGUUAUUUGUGACUAUGAUUGAGACCACACCAAACCCUAGGUCCUUAAGCUAUAGAACCCAUUUUUUUUUUUUUGUAAGAGGUCACAUAUACUGUGCCAAAGAAUUUUGGUGUAGUUGAACCUUAAGCUUUAUU